rnacentral:rRNA from 1 species
AGGAUAAACGCUGGCGGCGUGCCUAACACAUGCAAGUCGAACGCGCUUGCUAUCCGCGAGGACGGUGAGCGAGUGGCGGACGGGUGAGGAACACGUGGGUGACCUACCUUUCAGUGAGGGAUACCGGCGAGAAAUUGCCGACAAGACCGCAUACGCUUCUCUUUUCAAGGGGAGAAGGAAAGCUUUUCGCAAGAGAGGCGCUGGGAGAUGGGCCUGCGGCCGAUUAGCUAGCUGGUGGGGUAAUGGCCUACCAGGGCGACGAUCGGUAGCUGGUCUGAGAGGACGAUCAGCCACACUGGGAUUGAGAACGGCCCAGACUCCUACGGGGGGCAGCAGUGAGGAAUUUUCGGCAAUGGGGGCAACCCUGACCGAGCAACGCCGCGUGCAGGACGACGGCCUUCGGGUUGUAAACUGCUUUUCUCUGGGACGAGCAAGGACGGUACCAGAGGAAGAAGCCCGGCUAACUACGUGCCAGCAGCCGC